rnacentral:rRNA from 1 species
AUUGAACGCUGGCGGCAUGCCUUACACAUGCAAGUCGAACGGCAGCACGGACUUCGGUCUGGUGGCGAGUGGCGAACGGGUGAGUAAUAUAUCGGAACAUACCCUAGAGUGGGGGAUAACGUAGCGAAAGUUACGCUAAUACCGCAUACGAACUAAGGUUGAAAGUGGGGGAUCGCAAGACCUCAUGCUCAUGGAGUGGCCGAUAUCUGAUUAGCUAGUUGGUGAGGUAAAGGCUCACCAAGGCGACGAUCAGUAGCUGGUCUGAGAGGACGACCAGCCACACUGGAACUGAGACACGGUCCAGACUCCUACGGGAGGCAGCAGUGGGGAAUUUUGGACAAUGGGGGCAACCCUGAUCCAGCAAUGCCGCGUGAGUGAAGAAGGCCUUCGGGUUGUAAAGCUCUUUUGUCAGGGAAGAAACGGUGAUCGCUAAUAUCGGUUGCUAAUGACGGUACCUGAAGAAUAAGCACCGGCUAACUACGUGCCAGCAGCCGCGGUAAUACGUAGGGUGCAAGCGUUAAU